rnacentral:rRNA from 1 species
GGUUAAGCGACUAAGCGUACACGGUGGAUGCCCUGGCAGUCAGAGGCGAUGAAGGACGUGCUAAUCUGCGAUAAGCGUCGGUAAGGUGAUAUGAACCGUUAUAACCGGCGAUUUCCGAAUGGGGAAACCCAGUGUGUUUCGACACACUAUCAUUAACUGAAUCCAUAGGUUAAUGAGGCGAACCGGGGGAACUGAAACAUCUAAGUACCCCGAGGAAAAGAAAUCAACCGAGAUUCCCCCAGUAGCGGCGAGCGAACGGGGAGGAGCCCAGAGCCUGAAUCAGUGUGUGUGUUAGUGGAAGCGUCUGGAAA